GGGCCUGUAGCUCAGUUGGCUAGAGCACCUGCAUGGCAUGCAGGGGGUCAGGGGUUCAAGUCCCCUCAGGUCCA
rnacentral:tRNA from 1 species